CUGGGGAACCUUCAUUCCUUUUGGUUAUGGAGUCUUUCUUUUUCUCCCCAUUUUUGGUGACUCUUCUUGUUUGUUUCUGCAAUUGAGGAUGCUCUGUUUUGCCUGCUGUCUUUAUACGGUGAAUUUCUAUGGUGUCGGCUAACCAAGCAGUAUUACCACACAACCAAACCUAUGCCAGCAAAAAGAACCCCUCUACCACAUCAGCAAUCUCAACUGCAAUUGAACUGAGACUAAUAAAGGUGAAGAGAGAUUGCAUAUAUUAUAAGAUACUCUGGCAGCCUAUAUAGCUCUAGCCACAGGAACUGAUAAGACAGCAGCUUUCUGCUUGAGCUCCAUCUGCCAUGCAUAGACUGAGGAGUGCCCUUAGAGAAAAGCUGUAUAAAUGUAAAUCUUAC